rnacentral:miRNA from 1 species
GGGAUUUAGGGGAAAGGAUGGGAGGGAUGAGUAAUAAAAGUGAAAAUUAAAACUAAAAAUUGAGAUCUAUUUGAAUUUUUUUUUUCUUUUCACUUUUAUUACUCCUCCCCUCCAAUCUCCCCUCUCAUCCUCU